CAAACUUAUAAACACAUCCAACCCAAUUCUACUGCCUCGUUUUUAACGUUUGCCGAUGGUUGUCCAUGCAUAGACUCCACUCCAGCGUACGCAAUUGGUUUUCACGACAAAAGUGGCUGGCUCACGCCCUCUCGAAGGCCGAAGCUCACAAUGGGCCAACUGCAACAACAAAGUCCAGUAGCAGAAGAAGACACGACCCAUAUCCCCCACGCCUGUUUGGGAUUCUCACCCAUGGCAGGGCACCAACGAUCUCUUGCUCCAGUCCUCCUAUCUCAGACCCUCUGUGCCAUAGCAAGGACCCGUUGCUGCCGGUCAGCCUCCCCACUGCGUGAGUCUCAGUCUCAAAGCUGCUAAGCUCCAUUUCUUUUGGUUGGCGGCUUGAUUGGAUUGAGCAAUUUUGGUGUGGAUGAAUGGGGAAUGGAGCAGAUGUUCUAGGAGGGUAAUAAAGUCAUUUGGUGGGCGAAGUUGGAAGCUUGAAAUCUCAAGUAUCCAACUACUGGGACUGAAGCCCUCUCCAUGGAUUCUCGUUGAGGUUGCUCAAAAUGGUACCAUUUGCACCCGUAACACUGGCCCAACUCUCAUCCCAGUUAGACGUCAAGAACGCUUUCCUUCACAGGUAUCGGGCAAUGCACCACUCUUUACCAUACAAAGGCAUCUCUUUGUAUUGGACCGUGCCUCCUUGACUUGUUUGGCUCGCUUUGCUAUGCAACAACACAUGGUCUCUUGUUCCUCCAUGACCUAGCUUCAAUAUCGUUGUAUUGACAAAAGAUAAGAAUAACAUAAUUGUAUAUCAUUUUUUUCCGUAUGGGUCCAUCGAAUUUUAUGAGUAUGUAAGGAUAAAAAGUUAUUAUAUGUAAUGGACAUAGUAGAAAAUAGGAACUUCCAUUUCAAGGUUUCGAGUCCUUAAA